rnacentral:rRNA from 1 species
UACGUAGGGUGCGAGCGUUGUCCGGAAUUAUUGGGCGUAAAGGGCUCGUAGGCGGUUUGUCGCGUCGGGAGUGAAAACCCAGGGCUUAACCCUGGGCUGGCUUUCGAUACGGGCAGACUAGAGGUAUGCAGGGGAGAACGGAAUUCCGUGGUGUAGCGGUGAAAUGCGCAGAUAUCUGGAGGAAUACCGGUGGCGAAGGCGGCAUCCUGGACCGACAUUGACGCUGAGGAGCGAAAGCUAGGGGAGCA